AAAGCUCUUACCGAAGUGUUAGUCGGUGCCGGAAAAACUUGAAAAGCGAGAGAAAAUUUGAUGCCGAUGAGAGAAAUCUGAAAGUGGCAUGAUUUGCGAAUGACCGCCCCCUCCCUAUUUAUACCCGCUAGUGUAUUAAAUGCUAAAUCGAUAAGAGAGAUUUGACCAGUGCCCCGAGAAAAUUCCAGAAGCAAGGUUUAGCGGAUUAGAUCAGACACAAUUAAAAGGGAUCGGAG
rnacentral:misc_RNA from 1 species